AAGAGUUUGAUCCUGGCUCAGAUUGAACGCUGGCGGCAGGCCUAACACAUGCAAGUCGAGCGGUAGCGGGAAGACUUGCUCUUUGCCGACGAGCGGCGGACGGGUGCGUAACACGUAGGAAUCUGCCCGGUAGUGGGGGAUAGCCCGGAGAAAUCCGGAUUAAUACCGCAUACGCCCUAAGGGGGAAAGCAGGGGAUCGUUCGCCGACCUUGCGCUAUCGGAUGAGCCUGCGUCGGAUUAGCUAGUUGGUGGGGUAAAGGCCUACCAAGGCAACGAUCCGUAGCUGGUCUGAGAGGAUGAUCAGCCACACUGGGACUGAGACACGGCCCAGACUCCUACGGGAGG
rnacentral:rRNA from 1 species